rnacentral:rRNA from 1 species
UACGUAGGGGGCUAGCGUUGUCCGGAUUUAUUGGGCGUAAAGAGCGUGUAGGCGCCAUGUAGGUCCGGUGUGAAAACUCGAGGCUUAACCUCGAGAUGUCAUCGGAAACCAUCUGGCUAGAGUCCGGAAGAGGAGAGUGGAAUUCCUGGUGUAGCGGUGAAAUGCGUAGAUAUCAAGAGGAACACCUGAGGCGAAGGCGGGUUGCUAGGCUGACACUGACGCUGAAGCGCGAAAGCCAGGGGAGCAAACGGG